ensembl:snRNA U4 U4 spliceosomal RNA
AGCUUUGUACAGUGGCAGUAUCGUAGUCAAUGAGGUUUAUCUGAGGCAUGAUUAUUGCUAAUUGAAAACUGUUAGUUCUAACAGUUUUUGGUUGAGUCUUUAGAAAUUUUUAUAUAUAAAAUCAUA